UACGGAGGGUGCGAGCGUUAAUCGGAAUUACUGGGCGUAAAGCGCACGUAGGCUGUUGUGUAAGUCAGGGGUGAAAUCCCACGGCUCAACCGUGGAACUGCCCUUGAUACUGCAUGACUAGAAUCCGGGAGAGGGUGGCGGAAUUCCAGGUGUAGGAGUGAAAUCCGUAGAUAUCUGGAGGAACAUCAGUGGCGAAGGCGGCCACCUGGACCGGUAUUGACGCUGAGGUGCGAAAGCGUGGGGAGCAA
rnacentral:rRNA from 1 species